rnacentral:rRNA from 1 species
CCUACGGGAGGCAGCAGUGGGGAAUUUUGGACAAUGGGCGCAAGCCUGAUCCAGCAAUGCCGCGUGAGUGAAGAAGGCCUUCGGGUUGUAAAGCUCUUUUGUCAGGGAAGAAACGGUGGGGGCUAAUAUCCUCCACUAAUGACGGUACCUGAAGAAUAAGCACCGGCUAACUACGUGCCAGCAGCCGCGGUAAUACGUAGGGUGCAAGCGUUAAUCGGAAUUACUGGGCGUAAAGCGUGCGCAGGCGGUUUUGUAAGUCUGUCGUGAAAGCCCCGGGCUCAACCUGGGAAUUGCGAUGGAGACUGCAAGGCUUGAAUCUGGCAGAGGGGGGUAGAAUUCCACGUGUAGCAGUGAAAUGCGUAGAGAUGUGGAGGAACACCGAUGGCGAAGGCAGCCCCCUGGGUCAAGAUUGACGCUCAUGCACGAAAGCGUGGGGAGCAAACAGGAUUAGAUACCCUGGUAGUCCACGCCCUAAACGAUGUCUACUAGUUGUCGGGUUUUAAUUAACUUGGUAACGCAGCUAACGCGUGAAGUAGACCGCCUGGGGAGUACGGUCGCAAGAUUAAAACUUAAAUGAAUUGACGGUGAGAGNGCGAGACGACGACGAGGAGAGG